UGUGUUUUGCAGACAAUGUCAAUGUUCCAUUAUUUCUGUGUCUGUAUAGGGCCUGAUCCAAGUCAGUCAGUGGGAGCCUUUUCAUUGACUUCAGGGAGCUUAGGAUAUGUUCUAUAAUCAGAUGUGCCCUUGAGGGCCAGCUCCUACACAACAGCGGAGUGCUUCCAUCAGAUAAGGAGGUGAAUGAGGAGGAGUAAGGAGGACAUGUUUAGAGACGUGCUGCAAUUCUCUGAUGCUGCAGAUAGCGAGCACAGAGCGUGGAGAGAGACAAUUAAUGAAAAACAGAAUAGAUAGCCAGUAGAGGAGAUGGAGCAGGAGUGGAUGAUAAAACUGGUGGAGGACCAAGCAGAGAUGCUGAGCUCCCUGACUGCGCUGCAGUUGGAACACAUGCAUGCUUGACUCCCUCUACAGCCCAUACACAACUGCGUUCCAGGCCCUCCCCAAACUCCUCCCUUCCCCCCUCUCCCCAUGUUCCUCACAUAUUCCCAGUCCAUUGCAGUACCACUUGCACUCCACCCUUAGGAAUAUGUUUCAUAACGACAGCUGGACUUACACACAGCUGUGAGAGCCUCAUUUGAGAGAGUGCUCCUCAGUGUCAUGUCCCUUGUACGAAAUGGAAAUCUGUGUAUUACCAUUUAAUAAAAAUUUAGUCUUAGAAAUUA